GAAUUUCGUUGAUGAUUUCGAUGAAUUUAAUGAUGAUAACAUUCAAAACUCAAAAGUUCCAGAAAUUCAAAUACAAGAUAUUGAAAAUCAAGGUGUUUCAAAUACAUUAGAAGAUGAAGAUCAAGUUAUUCCGAACACACUAGAUGAAGAAGGACAACCAGUAGAUGAAGACGAAGGUUUACACAUUGUCUCUAUUUAGAGACUUUGAAGAGGAAUUUGGCUACUCAAUGGCGACCACAGUACAAAUUCUAGGGAGAACUGAAGAAAACAUUAUUCUUUAUGAAGUAUCGCUAGAAGAAAAGCCAUGGUCUUCCCAACAGGUAAGUUACAUACAUGAGAGCCAAACUAUAUGGUGCACUUGCAAGAAUUUCGAAGCUUCUGGUUGGCUAUGCUAUCACUGCCUCAGAAUUUUACAUCUACAUUCUAUUACAAGAAUUCCAGAGAAGUACAUUAGCAAAAGAUGGACAAAGCUUGCAAAAACUGAAGUAUGGAAUAGAAUGGAAAAUAAGGAUCCAA